UCCAAUAACAAGAUGCUAUGGAUGGAUGGCUAAAGACUAGUAGUACUACUACUACACAUCCGCUCAUGCAAGUGGAAAGAAAUCUUGAACUGAAUCUAGCCGAAAGGCUUUGAUUGGCCACUAUCCAUGCUCUCUAAUGCACAAACCCCAAAGGCAUGCUCUACAAUUACCAAAAAACUAAUUACUCCUUGCAUGGUUUUUAAUAGCCGUUUCCAUUUGCCCAAUGAUCUCAAGAUUUAAGAGUCGCAUUUGUCUCCCAUCUUCUCCAUAUUCUGCUGGCUGCCCACCACUCCAGCAUCCCUCGGAAGCAUGGAGGCCAACCAAGAAGACAGCUUAUGGCCUUAUUGGACAAGUGCUUGGGCUGAUAACUACCUGCUUGAAGAGGAAGCGCUCCUGUCCGGCGUGUCCUUCCCAAGUUUGCACUUCGAACCAUCCUGGCCUACCAUUACGCCAGGCAACGUUUUGCAAGGUGAGCUCGACGCCGUCUUUGAGGAUGAUGUCCUGAGGCAUUAGGAUGAGAUGGAACAAGCUGGCAACAAGAUAGAAGAAAGCCAAAACAGGUUGCUUCUGCUGUGUUACAGUGAAGAGAAGGAUGUGUCCUCCAACUCCAAGAUCAUCAGAGCAGACCGUACCGGAUUGGAGGAGAAGGCCGUGACGUUCAAACUCGUGUCGCGGUACUUUUACAUUCCGAUCAUGCAGGCGGCAUGAGAGCUCAACGUCGGGCUCACCCUCCUGAAGAAAAGGUGCAGGGAGCUGGGCAUCCCCAGGUGGCCACACCGCAAGAUGAAGAGCUUGCAGACUCUCAUCAACAAUGUCCAGGUCCCUCCUUCCUCCGCAGUUUCAUGACUGCAAUGCUCUGCAUCAGAUAGAAUUUUGCAUUCCUUUCGGUCGACGCGUGAGCCUUGCGGACAGGGUCGAUCGUGCUGCAGGUCCUGCAGGAGGCGGGCAAGGCGACCGGGGAGGGGCAGCUGAGGGCGGUCGUGGAGAUGCUGCAGCAGGAGAAGCAGGUCCUGGAGCAGAGGCCGUAUGUGCAGCUGGAGGAGAAGACCAAGAGGCUCAGUCAGGCCUGCUUCAAGGCCAACUACAAGAAGAGACGGCUCUUGGCUCACGAAGCCGGAGAGACACCAAGAAUCCAGAAGUACUGAUCCCAAGCAACUUAUAUAGGAGUAACGAGGUCCUUUAGCAAGCGUCAUCACGGGGAUUCAGCUUAUCCUAUGUCUCUUUUUGCCUCAUAUCGUUUUUAUGCUGAAUGUAGUACCAGUAGUAAUCUUAACAGAACGGGCAUCAACUCCUCCUUGCAUCAAAAGAGUUCACCGUGUAUCAAGUAUCUUUAGUACAUGGCA